rnacentral:misc_RNA from 1 species
GAUGAAGAACGCAGCGAAAUGCGAUACGUAACGUGAAUUGCAGAAUUCAGUGAAUCAUCGAAUCUUUGAACGCACAUUGCGCCCGCCAGCACUCUGGCGGGCAUGCCUGUUCGAGCGUCAUUUCAACCAUCAAGCCCCAGGCUUGCGUUGGAGCCCUGCGGCUGCCGCAGCCUCCUAAAAGCAGUGGCGGGCUCGCUAUCACACCGAGUGCAGUAGAUUACUCUUCGCUCAGGGCGUGCAGCGGGUUCCGGCCGUGAAACCCCCUACUUUUAAAGGUUGACCUCGGAUCAGGUAGGAAUACCCGCUGAACUUAAGCAUAUCAAUAAGCGGAGGA